UUUGAAAUAAUAUUAAAAUCAUGUUGAAUACAUAGUUGUUAAUGGUAAUUAGACUUCAAAUCCAACAGGUUACAAAUAGUCCAAACACAUAUUUGUCUUAAAAAAACCUAAGUAAUUGCAUUUUAAUUAAAUGAAAGAGUGCUGCUGUUGGAAACAUGAUUCUAGGGACCAAAGCCAGGUGACCAUUGGACCUUCCUUGGACUUGGGCGCGCCUCAAAAUUGCUGUCUUGGAGCAGCCACCUUCCACUCCAUCAAGUCAAUU
rnacentral:lncRNA from 1 species